AGUGAACGCUGGCGGUAGGCCUAACACAUGCAAGUCGAACGGCAGCACAGUAAGAGCUUGCUCUUACGGGUGGCGAGUGGCGGACGGGUGAGGAAUACAUCGGAAUCUACUUUUUCGUGGGGAAUAACGUAGGGAAACUUACGCUAAUACCGCAUACGACCUACGGGUGAAAGCAGGGGAUCUUCGGACCUUGCGCGAUUGGAUGAGCCGAUGUCGGAUUAGCUAGUUGGCGGGGUAAAGGCCCACAAAGGCGACGAUCCGUAGCUGGUCUGAGAGGAUGAUCAGCCACACUGGAACUGAGACACGGUCCAGACUCCUACGGGAGGCAGCAGUGGGGAAUAUUGGACAAUGGGCGCAAGCCUGAUCCAGCCAUACCGCGUGGGUGAAGAAGGCCUUCGGGUUGUAAAGCCCUUUUGUUGGGAAAGAAAAGCAGCAGGUUAAUACCCCGCUGUUCUGACGGUACCCAAAGAAUAAGCACCGGCUAACUUCGUG
rnacentral:rRNA from 1 species